rnacentral:miRNA from 1 species
CAGCAGACACAUUCCAGCCAAUCAGCAGCAGACCCUCCCUCCCACCUCCUGGACAGCAUCCAUUUUACAUUCAUUGUGAAGCUGCAUUCUUAGUGAGCUGUCCAGGAGAUGGGAGGGUCUGGGAGGGAGGGUCUGCUGCUGAUUGGCUGGAAUGUGUCUGCUG